rnacentral:lncRNA from 1 species
AUGGCAGUUCUUGCAUACUUUCUUGCCUUUCCAGUUGCUGGGAUUACAGGUGUGCACCACCCUGCCUAUCUUCAAGUCAAUAGUUAUUGGUAUCCCCAUUCUACGGUUAUAAAAGUGCUCUGUCAGAAAAUUAGGAUCCAGGAGAUACUGAAUGCCCUGUCAGGCAAUUUGGGAAUACUGGUUGGAAAAAAAAAAGAGGGACAUCUAGGGAAGGCAUGGGACUGUCUGACAACCAUCAUUUACCACCUUGGAAUGAAUCAGUGUUCUCUACAAUUAUACAAACCCAAGAUCAUCUCAAGGGCAAUGGAAUUUUCCAAUUGGGAGUGCACUGUACCUGCCCACAGCAGUCCUACAUACUUCCAUGACAGUAACUUUUAUUUCCUCCAUGUCCAACGAAGUUUAUUGCACCUACCAACUGAUUUUCAUCCAAAGCAUCCAAGAGGGGCCAUAAAUCUAAAGGUAAGAUAGGCCACAAUAAACUUUACCAGGAUGAAUGACAUUUAGAGACAUGACUGAUAUGCACAGCCCAAGUAGUCUUUCCUGGGGCACAAACAGACAUGUGUACAAGUCUUGGCUCAACUGGACUGUCAAUUCUCAUUAACCUCCAAGUCCUUACACUCUCUUCUUUCUCUGCUUUCUGCCCACAUCCUUGCAACCUUUUAAGACAACAUAUGUCUUAGAGAAAAUGAGAACAUGAUUCUGAUAUUCAUUCCCACUCUAAAAUGAAAACAAAAAAAAUACCAAAUAAACAAUAUU